UGGGAACUGCGUUNUGAACUGGGUGACUAGAGUGUGUCAGAGGGAGGUAGAAUUCCGCGUGUAGCAGUGAAGUGCGUAGAGAUGUGGAGGAAUACCGAUGGCGAAGGCAGCNUCCUGGGAUAACACUGACGUUCAUGCCCGAAAGCGUGGGUAGCAAACAGGAUUAGAUACCCUGGUAGUNCACGCCCUAAACGAUGUCGAUUAGCUGUUGGGCAGCAUGACUGCUUAGUAGCGAAGCUAACGCGUGAAAUCGACCGCCUGGGGAGUACGGUCGCAAGAUUAAAACUCAAAGGAAUUGACGGGGACCCGCACAAGCGGUGGAUGAUGUGGAUUAAUUCGAUGCAACGCGAAGAACCUUACCUGGUCUUGACAUGUACGGAACCCUCCAGAGACGGAGGAGUGCCUUCGGGAGCCGUAACACAGGUGCUGCAUGGCUGUCGUCAGCUCGUGUCGUGAGAUGUUGGGUUAAGUCCCGCAACGAGCGCAACCCUUGUCAUUAGUUGCCAUCAUUAAGUUGGGCACUCUAAUGUGACUGCCGGUGACAAGCCGGAGGAAGGUGGGGAUGACGUCAAGUCCUCAUGGCCCUUAUGACCAGGGCUUCACACGUCAUACAAUGGUCGGUACAGAGGGUAGCCAAGCCGCGAGGCGGAGCCAAUCUCACAAAACCGAUCGUAGUCCGGAUUGCACUCUGCAACUCGAGUGCAUGAAGUCGGAAUCGCUAGUAAUCGCAGGUCAGCAUACUGCGGUGAAUACGUUCCCGGGUCUUGUACACACCGCCCGUCACACCAUGGGAGUGGGGGAUACCAGAANU
rnacentral:rRNA from 1 species